rnacentral:rRNA from 1 species
GUAGGUGGCAAGCGUUGUCCGGGAAUUAUUGGGGCGUAAAGCGCGCGCAGGCGGUUCUUUAAGUCUGAUGUGAAAGCCCACGGGCUCAACCGUGGAGGGUCAUUGGAAACUGGAGAACUUGAGUACAGAAGAGGAAAGCGGAAUUCCACGUGUAGCGGUGAAAUGCGUAGAGAUGUGGAGGAACACCAGUGGCGAAGGCGGCUUACUGGUCUGUAACUGACGCUGAGGCGCGAAAGCGUGGGGAGCAAACAGGAUUAGAUACCCUGGUAGUCCACGCCGUAAACGAUGAGUGCUAAGUGUUAGGGGGUUUCCGCCCCUUAGUGCUGCAGCUAACGCAUUAAGCACUCCGCCUGGGGAGUACGGCCGCAAAGGCUG